AAAGUCUUAGUUAAUUAAUAACAUUAAUUUGUCAAAUUAAAAUUGCUAAAAAUAGUAGACUUUU
rnacentral:tRNA from 1 species